rnacentral:lncRNA from 1 species
UGCCUACAAAGAAAAUAUCUUAACGAGUUUCAGAUUUAUAUGUUACCAAUCUUGCCAUAUUCAGAUAGAAAGAGUCACCUAUUUGAGGUGUUCCCCUUGACAUAUGUCUUUUGUAAUGUAAAGUUAUUAUUCACUGAACACCAUAUAUAUAUACAUAUAUACCAUAAUAAUAAGAUAUAAUGAACAGUUCUAAAAAAUGUAAAGCAAAUAACCAAAAAUGUAGUCUUUA